AUUUAAAUAGUUUAAUAAAAACUUUGAUUUGUGGAAUCAAAAUUAAGAUAUAAUCUUUUUAAAUA
rnacentral:tRNA from 1 species